UGCCUCCAUCAGUCUGCCUUCUUGGCCCCCCAAACAAAUCUUCCUCCCUGGGACCUCCUAAUCUCUCCCAUCCAGUCCCCGCUAGCACAUGUACCUAUGCCCAACAGCCGGGUGGCUGCUCGACUCUUUCCACCUGCCGAUCAAAGAGAUGAGAAGGAUAGGGCAUGUGGCGGCUAUCGCGCUGCCCCUGCUGGAGAAAUUGUCGGUGUUCUGCCUGAACGCGGGUAACAUAUGCCCGUGGUGCUGGUCCUCCGAGGGUCGGGCUGGUGGUGAGGCCGGGCAGGGCUCCGUUUAGAGCAACGGCUUGGAGGGGCGAUAGAUCCAUCUCCUCCCGCAGGUUCCGCCCCGGCUAAUUCACCGACCAUAUUAUACUGCAGGAAUGGUGGAAUUGCUUUUCCAAGCUGAUGCUAAGCGGAUAGCUGUUUUGGUGACUCUCCAAAUUUUGGAUGGUAUAGAAGGACGAGCUAAAAUAAAUGCUUCAGUUUGGGUUGGCUUGAUUCAACCUGUUUCAAAAUGAUAUACGUCUUGAGGAUAUGAGAGGGAAGAAGCAUGAUGGUGUGCAUUAUGCAUCGCUACAGGACUUCGCUGCAAAGCCUACUUCUUUCAGGGUACUGAAGUCGUCGUCUUCUUUCAUUCUUCUGGAGGACAAAUUAUACAUUGUGUGCUAGCUGGUAAUCAUUUUCUUCGGAAUAACUGGUUACUUCCAAUACAUGCAAUAGUCUGAAGGUAUAUGCAUAUUUACGUUUCUGAGUUCUCCACUCAAGCAUGGAUGAAGAUGUACAUGGAAAUGAUUAUGCAUAUUAUGAGAUCUAAAAUUUCAGACAAGUGCGGUCUUUCAAAUUUUCUCUAUUACCCACUUUGUUUCAAAUUCUCCUUUAAAGAAUGGAUGAAAACAUGAGAAUUAGGAAGCUAUUUUUUAUUUGAAAGCUUGGCAACAGCUCAAUGGUAGCGUAUAUUGGAAAACUUUAACCGGUUGGUUCUGCGGUAAUUGA